rnacentral:rRNA from 1 species
UACGUAGGGGGCAAGCGUUGUCCGGAUUUAUUGGGCGUAAAGAGCGUGUAGGCGGCUAGAUAGGUCCGUUGUGAAAACUCGAGGCUCAACCUCGAGACGUCGAUGGAAACCAUCUGGCUAGAGUCCGGAAGAGGAGAGUGGAAUUCCUGGUGUAGCGGUGAAAUGCGCAGAUAUCAGGAAGAACACCCGUGGCGAAGGCGGCUCUCUGGACCACAACUGACGCUGAGGCGCGAAAGCUAGGGGAGCAAACAGG